rnacentral:rRNA from 1 species
GACGAACGCUGGCGGCGUGCCUAAUACAUGCAAGUAGAACGCACAGUUUAUACCGUAGCUUGCUACACCAUAGACUGUGAGUUGCGAACGGGUGAGUAACGCGUAGGUAACCUGCCUGGUAGCGGGGGAUAACUAUUGGAAACGAUAGCUAAUACCGCAUAAUAUUAAUUAUUGCAUGAUAAUUAAUUGAAAGGUGCAAUUGCACCACUACCAGAUGGACCUGCGUUGUAUUAGCUAGUAGGUGAGGUAACGGCUCAUCUAGGCGAAGAUACAUAGCCGACCUGAGAGGGUGAACGGCCACACUGGGACUGGGACACGGCCCAGACUCCUACGGGAGGCAGCAGUAGGGAAUCUUCGGCAAUGGACGAAAGUCUGACCGAGGAACGCCGCGUGAGUGAAGAAGGUUUUCGGAUCGUAAAGCUCUGUUGUAAGAGAAGAACGGGUGUGAGAGUGGAAAGUUCACACUGUGACGGUAUCUUACCAGAAAGGGACGGCUAACUACGUG